CUGAUCUGGGAUGCAUGGCAAACUUCUACCAUUCUCUAGAACGCAUGGCAAACUUCUCUAGAAUGCAUGGCAAACUCACACAAGUUGUAAGACCAUGCAAUAACUCCCCCGGCAGAAUUGAGACGGAACAUUUAAUGACGGAACUAUUAGUUCCAUCCGGUGAACGUUUUCGCUGACGGACCAGAAAAUUACAUAUUUGUAAACAGAUUCAGUGAAUCUUCAUAUUGACCCCUUUUGUUGACAUCAUCACCCAAUGUGGAGGAGGAGCAUUCUUCUUUGUUACACACAUCCAUAUGUGGAUUCGUGUGAAAGCUCUCUCUCUCUCUCUCUCUCCCUCUCUCUCACACACACACACAGCACCACAGUUCUUCAAGUGUGUGUGUGUAUCGGCCUGUGUAAGAAAAACAGUGCCACCAAAAACUGUGCCAUGAGAAUUUCUGGCAAAGGCCAGACCUACUCCUCUUACUAUGCCAAUCUCUAGCAUUAACUCAGUAGGAUCAUCCGCCUCUAGCUAGUUGAUUAACAGAGCUGUGUUAAAGAGGGAUUGUUGUCCUGGAAGGAGCUUCCUGCCCUCGAGGAACACCAUCCGCUCAGACUGCCUCCCUCUGGGGCUCAGACGGCAGAUGCUUCGCCUGCAAGUUCCAGAGCCACCCCGCCCCAUAGAGGACCAUCCCACCCCAUAGAGGACCAUCCCACCCCAUAGAGGACCACCCGCCUGCCCUAACAGCCUCUAGGAGGGACCCACCCCAGGAGCACCAUGGAAGGGCUGGAUGUGGAGGACAUCAGUCCUGCCCUGGAGGCCACUGAGGACUUCCUACACUGCCUGGAUGGGGGUGGAGGCCAAAGCCACUGCCAGGGUGGGGAUGGGUUCCGGCAGCCUAGGCAACACCACCCCAAGCUGCAGGAGAUGUCUGCAGCCCUGGGGAAGCUGAGCUCUAGCGGGGUGUGGGGCCUGCUGGCCAGGGAGCAGGGGACCGAGGUGUCCCCCCGUAACGUGGCCUGGGCUGACCAGCCCUCUGCCUUCAGCGUGCUGGCUCUGAGGCAGGGGAAAAGGAGUCGUGCUCGUUCCACCAACGACCUGGCUGCCCACACCAAGGACACCAACAACACCACCUCUAACUCCUCCAACACCGCUUUUAAGAAAGGCCACAACCGCUCACGUUCUGAUGUCAACUACCGGCCGUCCUACACAGACAACGCUAAUGGCCUGCCUGCUGUGGACAAGAACAUGCUGAAGAACAUUGCUCUCAACGACCAGAGAGAAGAAGCCCAUAAGGACAGCAGCAGCGGCAGUGUGGUGAAGCAGGGCUCCCUGGAGCAUCGUGAGGGUCAGAAGGGUCGUUGGAGCAUCUGCCACCUAGAGCUGACCCCCUGUGAGCUGCGUCUCUACAGCCUGGACAGCAGUGGUAACCGUCAGCUCUGCACCGCCUACUCCCUGUCCCACUGCCAGGGGGUUAGCCAGCCCCAGCCACCACAGGACGGACGAGUCCUCCAGGCCCUCUUCUUCAACAGCUCCACCCGCCUGCAGUUACGUGCCGCCUGCCAGUGGGAGGCGCUAGACUGGAGGAGGCAGAUCUGGGAGAGAGUAUUGGCUGCCCGGCCCGCCCACAAACAGGCAGAACCGCCUCCAGUCUUAUCCCCGUCGUCAUCCAUCUCCUCUGGAGGUCUCGACACCAGACCAGACCCCAUUGGUCCUGCUGAGGCUGCCCUGACCCCUCAUACCUCGCAUCUCCCCCCAGCCCGGCCCACGGCCCUGCCCCUGUUUACCAAGCGCUGUGCUGAUGUCCUUAAGGUGGAUCUGCUCCACCAGCAGACUGACCUCAACAACUGGAGGGCUUUCACUUUUGUGCUGAGUCGUUCCACGCUGCAGGCCUUCCCAACCGAGGGCCGGGGGCCCGUGUCCGAGCCUGUCCUCCGCUACCCGCUGGCCUCCUGCCUGGCCGUGCAGAGGGACGAGGGGGCCAGCGCCGCCCGUUUCCAGGCAGUCUUCCCCAAAGAGGUGCUCCGUCUGCGGUCUGAGAGCCAACUCAAGGCCCAGGACUGGGUGGAGGCCCUGCGGACGGCCGUGGCGGCCCAGAGGCCCCAGGGGGAGGAGGGUCAGGGCUCCAGCCAGGCCCAGCCAGGUGCAGUGUCGAUGGGGACGGGGGUGCUGCUGAGGACCAAGCCCUCCAGGGAGAGGAGGCAGAGGGAUGCCCAGAGGGCCAAGAGACAGUCAGUCACCACCAGCUUCCUCAGUAUCCUCACCUGCCUGGCUGUGGAGAAGGGCCUGACCACCCAGAGCUUCAGGUGUGCAGGGUGUCAGAAGCCAGUAGGGUUGUCACGGGGCAAGGCCAAGGUGUGUCGCUACAGUGGCUGGUACUACUGCCAGAGCUGUCAUCAAGACAACCUGUUCCUCAUCCCUGCCCGCCUGCUGCACAACUGGGACACCAACAGACACAAGGUGUCCAAGCAGGCCAAGGAGUUCCUGGAGUUUGUGUAUGAGGAACCCCUGCUGGACGUGCAGCAGCUGAACCCGUGUCUGUAUGAACACUGUGAGGGCCUGGCUGCAGUACUGCGCCUGAGACAGCAGCUCCAGUCCCUCAGAGCAUACCUGUUCAGCUGCCGUGCUGCCGUGGCCGAGGACCUCCGUAGAAGGAUCUUCCCCAGAGAAUACCUACUGCAACACAUCCACCUGUACUCACUGGCUGACCUGCAGCAGGUGAUUGAUGGGAAGCUGGCCCCCUUUCUCUCCAAGGUGAUUAAGUUUGCCAGUUCCCACGUCUUCAGCUGCAGCCAGUGCAGAGAGAAGGGCUUCAUCUGUGAGAUGUGUCAGAACGGACAGGUCAUCUAUCCCUUCCAGGAGAGUGCCACUAAGAGAUGUGAUGGUUGUGGAGCGGUGUUCCAUACAGAGUGUCAUCAGAAGGCCCAGCCGUGUCCACGCUGCGUACACAGAGAGCUCCACCAUAAGAGAGCCUCGUCUUUCUGGAGCCCUGACGACGAUACACCAGGCUGCGUCACACUGCCUUACCAGUACACCUGAUCACAAAUACACACACACACACACCCGACACCCGGAGAUCACACACACACACACACACACACAGAUUGAAACAGCGGUGCCACUCCACAGAGCUACACUCACCAAAGUCAAUGGAAGCAUGUGUGUUUGUGUGUGUGAGCUGGCCAGGAUACACAGUGAGAGUGUUGAUGACUAAGAAAGGGUUAUGCUCUCUCACACACACCUGCUUUGUGAGCUACGCUGACGUCACUCUCACCUGGAAGAGAUGGAUCCUAACGCAACACCCACCGGAGAGGAACUGCUCUGCCUCUUAGCCUCUCUGCUAUGUGCUAUCUUCAUAGUGCUGCAUACACACACAAACACACAGAAACACACACUCACAAACACAAACACAGACAACAUAAAUAAAGGGAGAGGGACUGCUCUGCCUCUUAGCCUCUCUGCUAUGUGCUAUCUUCAUAGUGCUACACAAACACAGAAACACACACAUACACACUCAAACACAGACAACACAAAUAAAGGGAGAGGGACUAUGCUGACUCAACAGCAGUAAUGCGUCCUCUUGACUUUCUGGACACAGUCGCUCACACACACACACACAUCUGGAAAUGUAUAUUUCCAGCUCAUACAUUUCCGACAUCAGUGACCAACCUACAAGCUGAAACUAAUAUGCUGUUGGUGUGAUGUCACUAUAGCCUAUAUCUAUAGCCUAUAUCUGGACUCUGUUGGUGUGAUGUCACUAUAGCCUAUAUCUGUAGCCUAUAUCUGGACUCUGUUGGUGUGAUGUCGCAACUCGCUAUAUAUUUGGACUAUAUAUCUGAACUCUACAUGUCCGUACUUCACCACGCUGUCCCUCUGCCCUUCACUCUCUCUUUAUCCUCCCCUUCACAUGUUUUUGCACUAUUUAUGCAUGUUCAUUAGGAUGUCAAGCCACAGACUGGGUUAGUAGCCACUGUAUUUAAGGAUGAGUUUGCUUAUUUAACUCACCUAUUAGCUGUUAGAGCCCCUCUAACCAACCAACCUUUAUCCAGACAUAUUCAAUAGGAGGGUCCAAGUGGGGGACGCUUAUUAUGAUCAGGACACACUUGAAACUAGAAUGAGAUUGAGUCAUAGUAAUGUUCAAAUCGCAUAUCAUCCUAUCAUGUAUACUUUUUCCUUGAGCGUGAUAGGGGCAACUACUCCCUACUGCUGUCCUAUGGGGCUAGAGGCUGGUGGAUGUAUUGACUGUCUCCAUUAUAUUCAGUAGGAAAGGCUCCAUCAGGUCAGCCCUACAUCUCCAGGCCUCAGCCACAGAGGGCCCAAAUUACAGUCCAUGGAAAAGACCAUGCAGGGAUUAGUUAUGUUACGCAAGCCAUCUCAAACCCGCAGGAGCUAGGACUCAUUCUGCUGCUAUGACUCAGUGCUCUCACUCAUAUAUAUAUAUAUAUGAGUGAGAGAGAGAGAUUUGGUGAGGGGUGUCUAUGACUCCCAGUAGUGUGACUGGUCUAAGCUCAAAGGACUGGCGGUGGAGGAUGAGAGCCCCAGUGUGUGUACUGUAUGUGUGAGAGCCCCAGUGUGUGUACUGUAGGUGUGAGAGCCCCAGUGUGUGUACUGUAUGUGUGAGAGCCCCAGUGUGUGUACUGUAUGUGUGAGAGCCCCAGUGUGUGUA